rnacentral:lncRNA from 1 species
AAUAGCAAAAUCUAAAUGAUCAUUUUCCAAAUAUAAACUAUAAACGAUCAUUUUUCAAAUAUAAACUAUAAACGAUCAUUUUUCAAAUAUAUUACUUGGAUUUCAAUUACUAUAUAACCCAAAAUAUUUAAGUAUAACACUCAUGACACGUCUAAAAGAAGACUACGACUCUAUAAAAGAAGACUACGACCCGAAUUUAUGGCUUAAGGAAGAGAGGAGAACACUUAUGUAACACUCAUGUAACACUCAUGAGAUGUCUAAAAGAAGACUACGACUCGGAUUCGGCUUCGGCUUGCUUGUGUGUGCUGGUCGGAGGAUGUAGGUGUGUGGCUUGCGAAGGAGAAAAAUGCCCGGCUCGGACUUGAAGGAAAACACGUUACGACUCACACAUGCGGGUCGUGCAGACAUGAACGACUCGACGGAGGACUCGUCUGGACGAAGUAUGCUCGCAUGACAACGUGCAGUAGCGUUCGGUGUUGCAGGGAAGAAAGGAUGCACGAAGAGAAAUGGGUUUUCAAACAAUGGAGAAAGACUCUGCUCGACUAACGAAACCCUCGGCUUCGACUUCAGGCGACGAGGUGAUCGAAGAUAGAGACGAAGUCGUCGGCAACAGAGACGUGCGGCGGCCCUAGGGCGCUUUCUCAAAAGGAAGAAGGAGAUGAAUAGUGGUGUCUAACGCUUCACGAUGCCCUCUAAUUAAUAUAUAAUAAUAUUAAUAAUAUUAUUAUAUCUUUUCUUUAAUUUAUUUCCAUUUCCUUUUUACUUUUCAAAAACAAAACUCAAUAUCUUCUCUCUCCUCAUUGCCUCUUAAUCCAAACAUAAAAUCUUAAUAAUUAUGUUAUCCUUAAUAUAAUAUAAUUAUUAUCCUCUUUCAUAAUUUAAUAUAUAAUUAACCAAUAUUAA